AUUAUCUGAUAAUUCUGAACAUACAUACUCAGAAAAUUCAACUGCUGCAAAACUGGUGUGAGGCUAGAAAUGAGAACAUUUAUUAAGUUAUUGUUUUACAGCAUUUCUGCUUAUUUCUCCCAGUUCUACCUCAGCAAGCACAGACAGCUCCCCUGUUAUGCAGUGACCUGCUCAGCACCAUUUGGAUACAAAUAACCCUUCUGCAGUGUUAGUUUACAGCAACCUUCAGAGUUUUUGGCUCAUCUUCUCAAACCUUCAAUUAAGCACAAGAAAUCUAGACCUCAUUAAAAAAGUUCUCUACCCACCACAUUCUCUGCUGGCACAGACGAUGAGCACCGCUAUGUGAAGAAACGCCCUCACCAUACCACCAGCACUUCAGGAAGGCUCAUCCCUGACCCUCCUGGCUCUCAGAGAAGGUCGUUCCUGACUUUUCUGAGCUCUUUGGGGUGGCAAUGCUCAGCUCCAGGCAGCAGGAUGCUCUCCUACAGCUGCACACCCAACCUGGGCGCUCCUCGAGCCCCAUCAGCCACCAGCGGGGCACAGGCUGCCGGAAAGGCCUCGGCUCUCUGCUGCAACAGCCACAUUUGGGCUCUUUUAAAGCCGUAGUCUGGGGAUGUGAAACACAUGCUGGACUGUCAGCUAAGCUCUAGGUUGUGCUUAAAUCGACAGGACUCACGACUGCCCCGUCACCGCCAGGGUGGUGAGGGCCUGAGGAUGGAGCAGCCGCUUUGGCACCUUCCCACACUCACGGCUGAAAGCUGCGUGUCCCAUCCCAAAGUUCAAACACCGGCUGUUCCCAAACACACACUGCCCUGCUGGAGCCCCCAGACCAAAACGGUGACCACUGCACUGAGGAGCAGCCUGAGACUGUUUUCUGAAGAGUUACCACUGGAUGAAGGGUACAAGUCAUCUUGCAAGGACUUCAAUCAUCUUGCUCUACAGGGCUUCCAGGUCAAGGAGAGACAAGGCCAUGUAAAUGAUGACCCAAUGCUGAGGAUCACUCCUGCCAGCAAUGGCCUGAGCUCCCAAACAAGCAUGCCACAAGGCACUGUAGCAAGACCUGCGUUAUUAUUAUGUCUGCCUGACGUGCCAGCACAUGCAUCAAGCUCCUUCAAAGCAUUUACUCAUCUGAUUUACUGUGCCAGCUACUCAACCACAGCAGCAAUGAGUACCUACCCAGCAGAGUGAUCGUCUGCUUUAUGGCCCAACCCCACACCAGAUGCAGAAACAGCUAUAAAAGCAGGCAAAACGGGAUCCAGAGGUUGGGCCCCUCCUGCCAAGAAGUAACUUGGGUGGAUCAGCAUGCCCCAAGGCCAUUGUGCUUUUAUGGACAAACCAGGCUGCUUUUAUGAGCCCUUGCUAGCUGUACACAGCGAAACCAAAUACAGGAUCACAGAAUCCUAAAAUAACUUAGGCCAAAAGAGACCUCUGUCACAUCUUGUCCCAUCUAUGCUUAAAACUGGGCUGGCUUGGAUCAGGUUAGGGCCACCUACAAGUCUCUCACUCACCUUACUCUCUGCUGUGUUGGAGAACUCAGACACCAGGCACCACAUGCACACAUAUCCAUGAUGAUAUUUUGGAUCACAUCAACUACAACACCCAAAACAAGCUGCUGAACAGAGGGGCAAAAAGAAGAAACUGCAAAGAGGAAUAGCAUGUUCAAACCAGAUUCAGACCCCAUGCUUCCUCCUAACCCCAGCAGAAAUACUUAACGUGGGUUCAAUGCAUACAAUGCUAUUAAAAACCAAGCACAUCCAAGGAACCCAGUGAGGUCUGUAUUUUACAUUUUGGCCUUGCUGAUAUGUGUUUAGUCCACCAGAGUUGAGCAGAUAUGAAAGGAGGAAGGAAAGCAUCUGUAAAUGCCACACAUUUAAAAAACAGCCAGCUGGAUGCUAUUGACAGUGCUCAAAAACAUCAGGGUAUUUAUCAUGUCACACUCCCAGGAUUGGGCCAAAGCACAGAGUCUGGGCUAGCAGUUGCUGUUUCCAUUUACUUGGCUUUAGCUGAGAGUUAGGAAAAAAAUCACUUCAAAUGAGGAGGUUCUGCUUUGGUGAACUUUAUUUGUUACUUGGAAAUGUAGGAAAGGUAAGGAAACAGAAAUAACUCCCCGGUCUUAGCUGGAGAAAGGGUAGAAGACAGAAGUAGAAUUUACUCGCUUCCAUAAUCAUGGCAAAUUGAGCAUUCUGCUCAGUUAGGUGAUUUAAUAACACUCUUUUCAGAUAGUUUAGCCAAAAAGUUUUAUCUGUGAGUUUUUCUUCUCCCUAAAAUGUACUGCUGCUAAUUUACCAAAGGUAGAACAAGGCAAAGAUUCUGAAUAUGUGGAUACUAAAGUAAAUUAUUUCUUUAGCAAUGACCAUAUAAAAACCCUUAGAAUUUUCUUCUCUACUUCAUGACUUUUUAGUAGUCUGGAUGACCUUGAAGGAAAAAGAAAAUAUUAAGAAUCUCAUCUGAGUUUUCUAUGACAUAAAUAGUAAAUGACAGACAAUCCCUUCCAUGUAUUCUAGUGUCAAUGGCACACUUCUGUAAGUAUUCACUUAUUCAGGCUAUCUAGUCUCUUCAUGUAUAAGCAUGUAGAAGUGAUGUAAGAAGCUUAAACAAUUUUCUUCAGUGUGCAAAAACAUUGACAUAAUCACAGUGAAAAAUAGGAAAUAACUGUUACUCUUAAGAAUAAAAGGGUUUUCUGAAGGAAGUUCUUCACAUAAAUGUACACAUAUUUAGUGUGCAUUCUGUGAACACUUUCUCCCUAUGUAACAGAGAGCCAGAAAAUCAUCUGUCAGGGGAUGAUGGAUGAUGAACUCUGCUACUUAGGCCUCAGGGCCCAGCCCUGCUGCUAUACUUGACUUAGCCUUCAGUAGGCACUAAGUGUUCUGUCAGAUUCAUGCCAAGGGAAAAGCUUAUGCCUCAAACUCCCAAGUGUGGGAACCAGAAUAAACAGAGACAUUUUUAAUGUUACCACACAUUUUAAAUCUGCUUUCCUGUAAGCAUUGUCCAUAUUUCUGUAAUAUAUACAGUCAUUGUGGGUUUGUUGCUCUGCCCAUCACCUCUGUUCUUUGUUGUACACUAACCAAGAAAACAAAUGAAAAAUAAAAGGAAUGCACAGCAUACAUGA